rnacentral:rRNA from 1 species
UAGGGAAUCUUCCGCAAUGGACGCAAGUCUGACGGAGCAACGCCGCGUGAGUGAAGAAGGAUUUCGGUUCGUAAAACUCUGUUGUUAGAGAAGAACAGCGCAUAGAGUAACUGUUAUGCGUGUGACGGUAUCUAACCAGAAAGCCACGGCUAACUACGUGCCAGCAGCCGCGGUAAUACGUAGGUGGCAAGCGUUGUCCGGAUUUAUUGGGCGUAAAGCGAGCGCAGGCGGUCAAUUAAGUCUGAUGUGAAAGCCCCCGGCUCAACCGGGGGAGGUCAUUGGAAACUGGUUGGCUUGAAUGCAAGAGGGGAGAGUGGAAUUCCGUGUGUAGCGGUGAAAUGCGUAGAUAUAUGGAGGAACACCAGUGGCGAAGGCGACUCUCUGGUAUGUAACUGACGCUGAGGCUCGAAAGCGUGGGUAGCAAACAGG